rnacentral:rRNA from 1 species
UACGGGGGGAGCAAGCGUUGUUCGGAUUUACUGGGCGUAAAGGGCGCGUAGGCGGUCGUGACAAGUCACUUGUGAAAUCUCCGGGCUUAACUCGGAACGGUCAAGUGAUACUGUAGGACUAGAGUACAGAAGGGGCAACUGGAAUUCUCGGUGUAGCGGUGAAAUGCGUAGAUAUCGAGAGGAACACCUGCGGCGAAGGCGGCUUGCUGGGCUGAUACUGACGCUGAGAUGCGAAAGCGUGGGGAGCAAGCAGG